CUGGGGAAACAGGAUACCUGUGUAGCUUAUAUGACUCCUAUAGCAAUGGCCAGAUGGAGGGGUGCAAGUCAAUCUGAAGGCACAACUAUACAGGGUUAUCUGAAUAGACCAAGGCCUACCUUGGAAGAAGUAAAGAAACAAUUACAGAAUAAAAAGAAAGGCUCCAAGGCAUUGACUGAAUUUGAAGAAAAGAUGAAUCAAAUUUGGACUAAAGAGCUCAAGAAUAACAAAGAGAAAGCAUUAAGUGGAAAUGUGAGUUCAUACAAAAGAAAGGAAAGAACAAAAAAGAAAAAGAAGAAAUCA
rnacentral:lncRNA from 1 species